rnacentral:rRNA from 1 species
UACGGAGGAUGCGAGCGUUAUCCGGAUUUAUUGGGUCUAAAGGGUGCGUAGGCGGGAUGCCAAGUCAGCGGUAAAAAUGCGGUGCUCAACGCCGUCGAGCCGUUGAAACUGGCGUUCUUGAGUGGGCGAGAAGUAUGCGGAAUGCGUGGUGUAGCGGUGAAAUGCAUAGAUAUCACGCGGAACUCCGAUUGCGAAGGCAGCAUACCGGCGCCCUACUGGCGCUGAGGCACGAAAGCGUGGGUAUCGAACAGG